GUAAGAAUAUCCAACCAGACUCAAGUUCUGGUGGAGGCGUGGGUUCGAAUCCCACUUCUGACA
rnacentral:tRNA from 1 species